AUCACUUCUUAGCCCUUUCUUACACUUCUCAUUUGUAACAUCUGCUCUUGUCUUUUAAUAUCUCAUACAUCCUCUAUCUGAGGACAGUAUAUUAAAUCAAUAUUUGGAAUCAGGAGAUGGAAUAGGAGCUUGCUCCAUCCAUUUCAUGCAUCAACCUGUUAAUUGCAUUACUUGCCACGGAGAGGAAUAUCAG